GAGAUAGUUUCUUACAAGCUUUAAGACCACUAUUAAGUUGUGGCAUAUUGCAUUUUAUCAAAAGUGCUUCUAAGAUGAGAAGUUGAUUAGGAUUAUUAUUUUUACAGCAAUAUAAGAUUUUGGUGUUACUUGGAAUCAAAUUACAAGGAUUAAGUGGCACGCGUGUGAGAUUGGGGUUGGAAUCAACGUCAGGAAGUGAAAAAAGGUUUGAUGGGAAUUUUUAAGCUAUGGCAAAUUUUACGAAGAAGUUUGACAACCAAACGUUCACCCUGUUUGCCUAGAUAUGGUAUUCUAAUGAAAAUUUUAUGAAGGUCAUUCUCAGUAUUUUUUUAAGGGGGGUUCUUUUUAGCUAUGAUUUUGGUUUUGAGUUUAUGAAUCAAGAAUUUCCAGACUGUAAGAGGGAAACCAUUCCAUGACAUAAAAGACUGGAGUGUUUGAAUUUGUUUUUUGAAUAGUGUUUGGUUAGAACAAAUCUUAAAUGCACGAAAAAAUAGGGAAUUGAUCCAAGUAGUUUUGCGGUUGAAAGGUUUGAAACUUGAAAAAUGUGUAUACUGGCCAGUAUGAGUUGUUUUACGAAAUAUAUCAAUGUCAUUAUUGGUUAUUUUGAGGUCUAGAAAGUGGACAUGUGAGUCAGAAAAAUCAUCAAAAGUAAAUUUAAGAUUUUUAUCAAAACUAUUAAAUUUGGCAUGUUUCCUCAUGUUCUUGCCUGAUUGUUUAGUCUUAUAGUUCUCUAAUUACAUAACUGUAAUUUCCGCUUGUAAAAAUAUAAACGUUUCGCAGCCUGCAUUGUAAACCAUAAGUCUGAUGAGUCUUUGGAAUAAAGACGAAAUAUUACACCA